rnacentral:lncRNA from 1 species
AACUCGGUCACCGUGCAAUUUUCCGGUGACCUAAGUGACUAAUUACGUCAAAGUCACUAAUUAUCAGUGUUGUGCAAAAACCAACACCACCACAAGACUUGGAAUAGAAUUCCGACCAAACCCCAGAAAUUUCUCCGGCAGACUCCCUGUCACGCGCCGUCGCAGCUAUCGGCGCGUCAUUUCGGCCAGUUUUUGGCUUCGCUCCAGAAGGACAGUUUGGUCGGCCUUAAUUUCCAACCCUACCCAUCCUUGUUCCGUUCGAUUCCGACAACUUUCAGUUUUUCCGGCGACUUUUCCGGCAGCUACAGAGACUUUCCGGCCAGAAUUUCAAAAAGNNNNN